UACAGAGGAUGCAAGCGUUAUCCGGAAUGAUUGGGCGUAAAGCGUCUGUAGGUGGCUUUUUAAGUCCGCCGUCAAAUCCCAGGGCUCAACUCUGGACAGGCGGUGGAAACUACCAAGCUGGAGUCCGGUAGGGGAGUGUGGAAUUCCCGGUGUAGCGGUGAAAUGCGCAGAUAUCGGGAGGAACACCAGUAGCGAAGGCGGCACUCUGGGCCGUGACUGACGCUGAGGAGCGAAAGCGUGGGUAGCAAACAGG
rnacentral:rRNA from 1 species